rnacentral:rRNA from 1 species
UGGGGAAUUUUGGACAAUGGGCGAAAGCCUGAUCCAGCCAUGCCGCGUGUGUGAAGAAGGCCUUCGGGUUGUAAAGCACUUUCGGCCGGAACGAAAUCGCCCGGGUUAACAGCCCGGGUGGAUGACGGUACCGGAAGAAGAAGCACCGGCUAACUACGUGCCAGCAGCCGCGGUAAUACGUAGGGUGCGAGCGUUAAUCGGAAUUACUGGGCGUAAAGGGUGCGCAGGCGGCGCUCCAAGUCAGGCGUGAAAUCCCCGGGCUUAACCUGGGAAUGGCGCUUGAAACUAGAGUGCUGGAGUGUGGCAGAGGGAGGUGGAAUUCCACGUGUAGCGGUGAAAUGCGUAGAGAUGUGGAGGAACACCGAUGGCGAAGGCAGCCUCCUGGGCCAACACUGACGCUCAUGCACGAAAGCGUGGGGAGCAAACAGG